rnacentral:rRNA from 1 species
UACGAAGGGGGCUAGCGUUGCUCGGAAUCACUGGGCGUAAAGGGUGCGUAGGCGGGUCUUUAAGUCAGGGGUGAAAUCCUGGAGCUCAACUCCAGAACUGCCUUUGAUACUGGCGAUCUCGAGUCCGGGAGAGGUGAGUGGAACUGCGAGUGUAGAGGUGAAAUUCGUAGAUAUUCGCAAGAACACCAGUGGCGAAGGCGGCUCACUGGCCCGGUACUGACGCUGAGGUGCGAAAGCGUGGGGAGCAACAGG